rnacentral:rRNA from 1 species
CCUACGGGAGGCAGCAGUGGGGGAUAUUGCACAAUGGGGGGAACCCUGAUGCAGCGACGCCGCGUGGGUGAAGAAGCGCCUCGGCGCGUAAAGCCCUGUCAGCAGGGAAGAAAAUGACGGUACCUGAAGAAGAAGCCCCGGCUAACUACGUGCCAGCAGCGGCGGUAAUACGUAGGGGGCAAGCGUUAUCCGGAUUUACUGGGUGGAAAGGGGGCGCAGACGGCGAUGCAAGCCAGGAGUGAAAGCCCGGGGCCCAACCCCGGGACUGCUCUUGGAACUGCGUGGCUGGAGUGCAGGAGGGGCAGGCGGAAGUCCUGGGGUAGCGGUGAAAUGCGUAGAUAUCAGGAGGAACACCGGUGGCGAAGGCGGCCUGCUGGACUGCAACUGACGUUGAGGCCCGAAAGCGUGGGGAGCAAACAGGAUUAGAUACCCCAGUAGUC